rnacentral:rRNA from 1 species
UACGGAGGGUGCGAACGUUAAUCGGAAUCACUGGGCGUAAAGCGCGCGUAGGCGGUUUGUUAAGUGGGAUGUGAAAUCCCCGGGCUUAACCUGGGAAUUGCAUUUCAAACUGGCCGACUAGAGUACGGUAGAGGGAGGUAGAAUUUCCUGUGUAGCGGUGAAAUGCGUAGAUAUAGGAAGGAAUACCAGUGGCGAAGGCGGCCUCCUGGAUCGAUACUGACGCUGAGGCGCGAAAGCGUGGGGAGCAAACGGG